rnacentral:rRNA from 1 species
GCUUGUCUCAAAGAUUAAGCCAUGCAUGUCUAAGUAUAAACAAAUCUAUACGUGAAACUGCGAAUGGCUCAUUAUAUCAGUUAUAGUUUAUUUGAUGGUUCAUACUACUUGGAUAACCGUAGUAAUUCUAGAGCUAAUACAUGCGUCAAAACCCAACUUUACGGAAGGGUCGUGUUUAUUAGAUACAAAACCAGCAUCUCGUUGGUGAGUCAUAAUAACCAAGCGAAUCGUCGGUUUACCGACGAUAGAUCGUUCAAGUUUCUGACCUAUCAGCUUUGACGGUAGGGUAUUGGCCUACCGUGGCAAUGACGGGUAACGGAGAAUUAGGGUUCGAUUCCGGAGAGGGAGCCUGAGAAACGGCUACCACAUCUAAGGAAGGCAGCAGG